rnacentral:lncRNA from 1 species
AGAACGGUGAAGAUCCCGGCGAUGGAAAAAAGGCGAAACUGCUCCGCGUAGGCUGCUCGGAGUGGCAUCGCACCUUGUUCGAGUCCGAAGAAGUUCCCGCUUCUCUAAGCCGGCUGAAGGGAUGCGAGUCUCCUCUUGUCCCAACGGGACUGUGUCCUGACACAGAGUGGACUCCGCCCCAAGAGUGCGAGCGUCCUGAGCGUUCAGGGCAUCCUGAGCCGCGGAAGGCAUCCGGCCACACCCCGCUCUUUACCCGCCAACGCCAGCCCAGGUAAAAAGAAAAAAACUUUACGUGCUUUAAGAUUCCUCUGGAGAGUCGCCAAUUAGAGAGUUACCAGUUCUGUGACCACCCCACCCCCGCCCCCCAGGAAGAGCGAAAUCUGUCACGUACUCAUCUUUCACAACCUUGCAUAGGAGGAGGAAACACCCACUCACGGCCGCCGGCCUUAAACGCUUGCAGAUUUGCGAUGGCAGGCAAAUCCUUCACUUUCUGGGAGCUGGCGCCGCGUCUCUGGUGCUUGCAGAAAGGAUCCAGUUUCUGUAAGGAUGCCCAGGCUUCGAUUGCACCUGGUUCUGAACACCAGCCCAGGAAUCCCACGUACCUGUUUGCGCCUCCUCCCCUGGCCGGUUACCAGUCAAGACCGCCAGGAACCUCUUAGAACAGUAGCCAAACCGGCUAGUCUUUUAUUCUGAAUCGGUCACUUUCCGUGGCUAGUAAAGUCCAACACUUUGGAUAAAUUGGCUUAGUGUAAAAAGGUAAACUAUUGUGUUUUGAUAAUGUCUCUUUUGCUGUGAUAUGUCCAGUGUGAUCAUUUAAAACAUACUGAAAAGUGUAUAGAAGAAUGUUGAAAUUCUACAUAAUCCCAACAAACUUAAAACAACUUGAAAAGCUUUAUGUAUGCUUUUAACCCUCUUUUUUUUUCAGUGCUCACUUGGUAAGACCACUUACUGAACAACUAGGUUGUUGAAGCUGUUUAACAUUUGUUGAAAAACAGCACAGAAAAUAGUAUGCCGAUUACAAAUGCAGUUCAGUACUUAAACAAACAUACUCUGGCAACAGUCUAGAUGAUAUAAUCUAGUACAAGCCUCCUUCAUCGCAGUCCGUAACAAAGAAAGCACACUCAUGCUAAAUAUAGACACUGCCUUAGCAUUAAGUAUUCUAAUUGUUCUUUCUGUCAUAAUAGUUAUCCAUCCAAUAGUCUGCAGUGCCCUGCUCCUUUCAUUCCACACUGUAUUUGAGUUUAUGCAUGCUGUUUCACGCAAUUGGGUCGUUUAAAAAUAUUCUUUUACUCU